rnacentral:rRNA from 1 species
GCUAGCGGCAGCUUAACACAUGCAAGUCGAACGGUAACUCUUGGUGCUUGCACCAAAAGACGAGUGGCGGACGGGUGCGUAACGCGUAUGCAAUCUACCUUUUACUAGGGUAUAGCCCAGAGAAAUUUGGAUUAAUCCCCUAUAAUAUCAUGAAAUCGCAUGGUUUUAUGAUUAAAGCUUCGGUGGUAAAAGAUGAGCAUGCGUCCUAUUAGUUUGUAGGUGAGGUAACGGCUCACCUAGACUACGAUAGGUAGGGGCCCUGAGAGGGGGAUCCCCCACACUGGUACUGAGACACGGACCAGACUCCUACGGGAGGCAGCAGUGAGGAAUAUUGGACAAUGGACGAAAGUCUGAUCCAGCUAUGCCGCGUGCAGGAUGACAGCCCUACGGGUUGUAAACUGCUUUUAUACAGGAAGAAAAACCCCGACGUGUCGGGGCUUGACGGUACUGUAAGAAUAAGGAUCGGCUAACUCCGUGCCAGCAGCCGCGGUAAUACGGAGGAUCCAAGCGUUAUCCGGAAUUAUUGGGUUUAAAGGGUCCGCAGGCGGUUUUUUAAGUCAGAGGUGAAAUCCUACAGCUCAACUGUAGAAUUGCCUUUGAAACUGAAAGACUUGAGUUAUUGUGAAGUGGUUAGAAUGUGUGGUGUAGCGGUGAAAUGCAUAGAUAUCACACAGAAUACCAAUUGCGAAGGCAGAUCACUAACAAUUAACUGACGCUCAGGGACGAAAGCGUGGGUAGCGAACAGGAUUAGAUACCCUGGUAGUCCACGCCGUAAACGAUGGAUACUAGCUGUAUGUCUACCUCAGGUAGAUGUGUGGCCAAGCGAAAGUGAUAAGUAUCCCACC